rnacentral:snoRNA from 1 species
GCAUUAGAUGAAGAAGAUCUAGUAGCUUUUAUCUUGAAUGGUCUAGAUGACGAUUAUGAACCUGCUAUCUCCGGUUUGGUAACAAGGGUAGAACCUGUUACUUAGCAGAAUUAUACUAUGUAUUGCUCAAUUUUGAGA